CCUACGGGUGGCAGCAGUGGGGAAUAUUGGACAAUGGGCGAAAGCCUGAUCCAGCCAUGCCGCGUGUGUGAAGAAGGCCUUCGGGUUGUAAAGCACUUUCAGUGGGGAAGAAAGCCUUGGGGCUAAUACCCUCGAGGAAGGACAUCACCCACAGAAGAAGCACCGGCUAACUCCGUGCCAGCAGCCGCGGUAAUACGGAGGGGGCGAGCGUUAAUCGGAAUUACUGGGCGUAAAGCGCGCGUAGGCGGUCUGAUAAGCCGGUUGUGAAAGCCCCGGGCUCAACCUGGGAACGGCAUCCGGAACUGUCAGGCUAGAGUGCAGGAGAGGAAGGUAGAAUUCCCGGUGUAGCGGUGAAAUGCGUAGAGAUCGGGAGGAAUACCAGUGGCGAAGGCGGUCUUCUGGACUGACACUGACGCUGAGGUGCGAAAGCGUGGGUAGCAAACAGGAUUAGAUACCCCUGUAGUC
rnacentral:rRNA from 1 species